rnacentral:rRNA from 1 species
CACAAGCAGUGGAGUAUGUGGUUUAAUUCGAAGCAACGCGAAGAACCUUACCAGGGCUUGACAUGGGGAUGACCGCUCUAGAGAUAGAGUUUUCUCUUCGGAGACAUCCCACACAGGUGGUGCAUGGUUGUCGUCAGCUCGUGUCGUGAGAUGUUGGGUUAAGUCCCGCAACGAGCGCAACCCUUAUUGUUAGUUGCUACGCAAGAGCACUCUAGCGAGACUGCCGUUGACAAAACGGAGGAAGGUGGGGACGACGUCAAAUCAUCAUGCCCUUUAUGUCCUGGGCUACACACGUACUACAAUGGCGGACAUACAGAGGGAAGCAAGACAGCGAUGUGGAGCAAAUCCCUAAAAGCCGUCUCAGUUCAGAUUGCAGGCUGCAACCCGCCUGCAUGAAGUCGGAAUUGCUAGUAAUCGCGGAUCAGCAUGCCGCGGUGAAUACGUUCCCGGGCCUUGUACACACCGCCCGUCACACCAUGAGAGUCGGAAACACCCGAAGCCUGUAGCCCAACCGCAAGGGGGGCGCAGUCGAAGGUGGGUCUGAUAAUUGGGGUGAAGUCGUAACAAGGUAACCGU